GGGCUAGCAUUUUGUAACGGAUCUGUUCUAUAAUGGGGAUGCUGGCUUGCCAGCUAUGACACUAUACGUUUGUACGGAAUAAACGUUACGGACCCGGGGGCGGUACCCGGCGGCUCCACCACUUACGAUCGCGAAGAUCUUAGGCGGCGGGGCCGAAAUAGGAUCGACGUGCGCAGUAAAGGUAUUUAAGCGGUGUCCGGCAUUGUAUCCGCCGUUAUCGGGCUAAAUUUAUAAAUGCAAACGAUAACUUUGCGUUCGUAGCCGCUAACGACAACUCUGUUGUUGCUGGUGAAGGUCGUAUCGCUGCCUAAUUGGGCAGUAGCGACGCUACAUUCGAAUUCCUAAUAGAUUAACCUCCGUUAGGUGGGGUUUGGCGGCACCUCGCAACAGAAGCCGCCGCU
rnacentral:tmRNA from 1 species